CGACGGAAAGGUGUCCAAGCUGG
rnacentral:miRNA from 1 species